AAAACUAGCCGACGGGGAGCGUAGUAUCUGUUCUUAUCAGCUUAAUAUCUGAUACGGGUUGUAAUUGCACCUGAAAUAAUAAACCUAGUUUUGUAAGUCGGCGGAGUGCUUGAAGCCUAUUUCACCUCCGCUGAGGGUUGGCCCGGUAUUUGCACUAUCUUCGGAAUUUUUGGUCUACGGACA